rnacentral:tRNA from 1 species
GUCCUCGUCGUCUAGUCGGGCUAGGAUCACGGAUUCUCAAUCCGUGGACGCGAGUUCGAAUCUCGCCGGAGACACCA